rnacentral:tRNA from 1 species
CCUCCUUUCUAAGGAAUUUGGCGUUAGGAUACAUUCCGUAUCCCAAUUCCAGUUCACUUAACAUAGAUGCCGGCACGUCGCCGUCGGCGUAUCCCUUCCAUCACGAAUGCCGAAUGCGGAGACGGUGUACGCUCUCUCCACCAGUUGGUUACUACCAGAAUGGGCCUGUAGCUCAGCUUGGUUAGAGCGCACGCCUGAUAAGCGUGAGGUCGGUAGUUCAAGUCUACCCAGGCCCACCAUUUCGCGACCGAUGUUAGCCACGUCCUUAUUAUCGAGGCACACCGGACACGGGGGUGUAGCUCAGUUGGGAGAGCGCCUGCUUUGCAAGCAGGAGGUCAUCGGUUCGAUUCCGUUCACCUCCACCAAUUCUCCGGAAUUUUUAGAAGUUCUGUUGAAGAUUUAGGCGGUAGAUCAAGGCAUUCGUGGGGAAAUAU